AUGUCAAAUAAAAUUAAUGACAAUCGAUAUGACACUUACAGUGAUAUAAUAGUCUAAAAAAAACCAAAAAAAUGAUAUCUCAGCUUCCGAAAUGUAAUUCAAUGUAAUUUUUCAACAAAAGAUGUAAGAAGUCUAUAUUAUUUCCAUAUUUUACAUAAAAACUGUAUAAGUUAUUACCAAUCAUGGAGAACACAAAACAUAAUCAUAUCUCUAACUCAAAAAACUCUACAUACAAGAAAUGAUAAAUGGUAAAAGAUGAGUUUCCAAAGGGAACACACCAAGAGUUCAAAAACGUUGUCUAAGCUAGUUGACAAUUGUCUGUCUAAGAAUGCAGUACCAGAAACACCUCACAGUCCCAACAGACUGCAUUUAUUUCAUUGGGCAAGACAAGAUCAAAAAAUUCACUUCCUUAGCAAAACCAUGAAAGUGCAUUCAACAGUGACGAUCUUUUUCGAUUGGAUAACAUGGAUGAAAAAGCGAAUGAGCUCGAUUUCAGAGAUAAAAGCAUUUCAGAAUCACAUCAAUGAAUCCUGAAGACAAUUCGAUGACAUAUAGUAUCAAAAUUUAUCAAUAGUCCAAAGAUCUCAACAAAGAUUAAGAUUUCGCACCACCUCUACUGUUUCUCCAUCUUCUAAGCAUAGCAGCCACUUAACUUCAUUGAACGCCUUAAUACAAUAUAAACUCUAGCGACUACAAAGAUAUUAAAGCUUGAUGAAAGGAGGUUCCAGUCUUUAGUAAAUUUCGUUUGAAAUAUUACAAACAGUUUGGUCUUAGUCUUGGGGUGUGUAAAAUCGAGUUAGAGAUCUUCGUGGGAUUAAAUUUUUAGUGUAAAUUCGUUUCUUAUCUUCAUAGCCCUGAAAAUAGAGUAUUGGUACAUCAUUUUCUGUUGAAACAACACUGGAUUAUUGUUUUAUAACACUGUCUAUAAGAAACUAACUAUAAAAAAUUGUCCAUAACUGUUCUUUGCAUAUUAAUGAUAUAUUAUUCUUCAGUUUGGAAACGCCAUCAACCUGUAAGAACCUAAUCAUUCGAUAAGCGUCCACUAAAAGUUUGAUUGAUAUUCAUAAUAUCAAAAUUUACUUUUUGGGUAUUUUAGUAAUUAAAAAUAAAUAUUCAGCCCAAUAAUUUAUUAAUAACAAUAACUUUAAUCACAGACAAAGUACUGGUUACGCAUUUACAAAAAAAAAAAGAAUAAAAACCAGACAAACCUAUUGGAUAAAAAGAAAUAAUUCUUUAAAGUAGCUAUUCAAACACGUUAAAAAUAGUACAUAAAUCUACUAUUCGAUAUCGAUAAAGUGUAGGUAUAAUAAUAACAAGGUGUAAAAUGGAAUCGUACAAAGAAUGUUGAGUUGAUGUUAAAAAUAGAACUGAAAUUUAAAAAAAUAGGAUGGCAAAAGCAGGAAAAUAAAAAUGGAAAAAGUCGUAAAAUAUUUCUUUUGUAAAAUGUACUUACAUUAUACACAUUAUUCUCAUUUCCUGCGUCAGUUCUUUGUAUUAUUUAAUAGCUUCUAGUAACAGUUUUUGCGAUUAUUAUUUAUUUAUACUUAUUUAACAAUUUGUAAUAAAUUCGAUAGUACAGCUUUUAAUUAAGAAAGAAAAAAAGUAAGAAACCAAUCUAAUGUUAAAAAUGUUAUUAUAACUUAAAUUAAUACAUUUCAUUUUUUGAUGAUUCAAUCAACAUGACUGUAAGGAAAAACCGAUAUCUUGCUAGUUAAAAAUGGAAUAAUAUUUUUCAAGCUUUGUUUUUUCUUAUACAUUAUAAUAGUAGUUUAAAAAAUAAACUAACAUUACAAAAAUGCACAAGGUUUUUUUUAAAUUGCUUUUUAAUCGUAAUAGCGGAAAGUAGUUCCAAUUUGGGAACGAAAAUUAAUAAAUUAAACAUUACAUUAAAUAUUUGCCUAUCUAAAAUACUUGAAUAAAUCAAAAUUUCAAAAAAAGAAACUAUCCGAUAAGAGGCGAUUUAUAUCAACCUCUCAGUUAAGUUUUAUUUGCAUGUAAAGUUUCACUCUUCUUUUAGGAUACUUGUAUACAACAAUAUAAAUUAGGUAUAUAUAUAUAUAUAUAGGCCCUACAAAUCUUUUUUUUUUAAUAUUACACUUUUUUAAAUAUAUUUUUCGAAAUCUUCAAUAAAUUGACUUUAUUAUAUUUUUUAUUCUCUUUUUAAAUUUUAUUAUAGAGCUUUCACAUCGUCCACAUUUACGUAACAAGUUUUCGCGAGAUUCAUAAAAAUCAGUAAUUAUUAAAUGUUUUAUAAUCGAUAUUCAAAAAAAUAAUCUCAGGUGAUUUGUGGAAAAUAUAUCUUGUUAUUAGGUUUAAAAAUAAUCCCUACUAAUAAUAACUAAAUAAUUACUACGCAAUAAGUAGUUAUUGAAGUAAUGCAACCAUAUUUGUACUUUGAGAUAACUCUUUAUGCUGAUAAAGCUUUAAACCAAACAAGAAAUACAGCAGAAGUAACAAAAAGGAAAUCGCUCGUCAAAAUGAUAAUGUUAAAAUGGAGAGAUUAAUUAUAAGCAUAAAAUCUGUGGUAACCUCUGCCGCACAGUGUUAAGCCACAAGGAGUCGUCGGUUAUAAAAAGGUAAAUAAAGUGUUUAAAAUUAAUAAGCAGACUUAUAAAAACUCACAAUGUCCGGCUGAAAACUACCUGGGGCCACAGAAUUCAUUUUCCCAUAUAUAAUUUAUUGUAUAUGUACAUUUCUAGGAGUAUUAUUAAUUCGAAAAACCCACAAAACAAUUCUAAUAAUGUAAUAAAAUUGCUGCUAACCUGAUAAAAAUAUUUUAUAACUAAAUUAAUUUGACUUAAAGUUUUUCAGUAUAAUUGAUAGUCUCUAUACUCAAAUGAGUCGCUGUUUACAAAGUAUUCUAUGUUUUCUAUCUUACACCACUAUUCCACACUAUGAAAGAAUUCAAUGUCCACGAAUACGAAAUUAAGAUCACCUCAUUAAUGAUAAAAUU
rnacentral:lncRNA from 1 species